GCGCAACCACCCUCCCCCUUCAUUCCUUCACUCCUUCAUCCCUUCCUCGCCAAACAGAUGUUCGGGAAUACCUUCUACGACGGCUGCCUUUUUUGGUAAAACGGACGAAUUGUAUGUCUCAAGAACAAGGGAAAUAGCGCCUACCUCCUGCUACUGGGUUAUGAAUGAGAUUCUGAGGAUGAGGUGCUCCGGACACACCAGUGCCCUUCCUGCCCCCUUUGCUGGUCCCUGGACUCCCUGACCCAGCUGGACUGGACUCAACCUAAAGUCCUCUUCAUCGGCUUCCCUCUUUCCCUUCCAUCCACUGAGUGCCCGCCGUGUGCUGGUCUUCUUAGGACCUCAGGGGAGGCAGACCAAUAAAAAGUGGAGUUUGGAGUUCCCUCUGUGCUCAGUGGGUUAAGGACCUGACUAGUGUCUGUGAAGAUACGGGUUCAAUCCCUGGCCUCGCUCAGUGGGUUAAGCAUCUUGCAUUGCUGCAGACUGCAGCCUAGGCCGAAGAUGUGGCUCCGUUCCUGUGUUGUGUGGCUGUGACGUAGGCGGGCAGCUGUCCGAUUUGACCCCUAGUCUGGGAACCUCCAUAUAUGGCUGGUGCAGCCCUGAAAAAAAGAAAAAAAAAUGGAAUUUUCCUUCUUUCUUGGGAAGCCAUGGCAACUCCUGGACCCAGGUGGAAGUGAGGAGAAGGAAUAAUAGCAGCCAUUGCCCCUGGGAAAAUAAGACCAGCUCCCUCACACAGCCCCCCUCUGUCACCCUCGGCCUGAAGCCCCUUUGCCUUCAUCUGCGCCCCUCGCCAGCCCGCCUCUGAGCUCCUCCGCGCCUCUGUCUCCGUCCAGCAGGGAGCCUGCCCUGUUUGCCCCAGGCGGAGUUAGCUGCCCUUCCCCCAGGAAGGCUGGCCUGUCUGUAAUCUGCAACCAAGUGCAGGGACUAAUAGCUCAUCAUAAGCAGCGAUUUAUAGGAAAAGAAGAGAGAAGAAUCGGGAGGGAAGGCAUGGGCCUGAGUCCACGCUGAGGCGCCGUCAGAGGAGCUCCUGCCCGCCCUGUGCUCCGACGUUCCCUCCAGGACGAGAGAAGCUGGCAGGGGAGACGAUGCCUACCUCCUCCCCGGUCUUGGUGCCUCACACCCGGCUCCUGCUUUAGACCUUGAUGGAGGCCAUUGGCGACCCUUCUCCACGGGCCGGGGGGCUGCUGGGAUAGGGGUUCUCUGACGCUGGGACACGGACCCCCAGGCGUGGGCCUCCGCUUUGCUCGGAGCAGAGUCUCCUUGAGGAAAGUCAUUUCCUUACCUGUGAGGGGCCUGGCCAGCUGACCUUGAAGUCCUUCCCAGGGCGAUCUCAGGAUGCAGAAAUUCUGAGUCUCCCAGGCCUUCGCAUCCGGAAUCCAUGGCCUAAAGCUGCUCAGUCCAGAAUGGCAGCCACUGGCCACAAUGACUGCUGAGCCCUUGAUAUGUGGCUAAUCCAAAUUGGGCUGUAAGAAGAGAGGAGACCCCGGAUUUCAAAGAUUGAAUAUGUGCCGAAAAAUGUCAAAUACCUCAUAUGUAUACAUGUAUAUGCCCCCCCCACACAUAUAUAUUUAUUUUAGGGUCGCACCCGUGGCGUCAUUUUUAUAUUUGUUGCAUGCUACAGUGAGAUGAUGUAAUUUUGGAUGUACUGGGUUAAAUAAAAUUUUUUAUUUAAACG
rnacentral:lncRNA from 9 species